rnacentral:rRNA from 1 species
UACAGAGGUCUCAAGCGUUGUUCGGAAUUAUUGGGCGUAAAGAGCUCGUAGGCGGUCUGUUGCGUCCGCUGUGAAAACUCGGGGCUUAACCCCGACGCCUGCAGUGGAUACGGGCAGACUAGAGGUAGGUAGGGGAGAAUGGAAUUCCCGGUGUAGCGGUGAAAUGCGCAGAUAUCUGCAGGAACACCCGUGGCGAAAGCGGCGAGCUGGACCACUACUGACGCUGAAGAACGAAAGCUAGGGGAGCAAACAGG